CACAUGCAAGUCUCAGCACACCAGUGAGAACGCCCUUAAUUUCUUUACCAGAUAGAGGAGCCGAUAUCAGGCACAGAUUUCUUGCCCAUUACAUCUAGUCUCACCACGCCCUCAAGGGAAUUCAGCAGUGAUAAAUAUUGCCAAUAAGCGAUAGCUUGAACCAGUUAAAGAAAAGAGAGCCGGCCAACCCGGUGCCAGCCGCCGCGGCUACACCGUGGGGCUCAAGUUGAUAUUUAUCGGCGUUAAGCGUGAUUAAAUAUUUUUUAAAUUAGAAUUAAACUAGUACUUAGUCGUGAAAAGCUUGUAAUAAAGAAACCCAUAAACGAAAGUUAUUCUAAUCAUUUGAACCCACGACAGCUGGGA
rnacentral:rRNA from 1 species